UGCAAAUUUUCAUCCAAGAUGGCAGCAAGCUCAUUGUCUGCUCAGUGUCUCUCUCUGGACUAAUUCAUUUUAAUGGAUUUUACUGCUUUUUAUUGUUUUAAAAGUUGCAGUUUAGUUUUAGUGUUUGUUUUCUUUUUUGGCGGACUUUAAAUGAGUUUAAUUUAGCCUCUGCUAUAUCUGAUUCUGGGCUAAUAAGCCUGAGCUACAUCUACCUCCGCCUGGAGCCUGAGCUAACAAGCCUGAGCCUGCCACAUCCACUUCCUUGUGGAGCCUGGGCUAACAGGCCUGAGCCUGCCUCAUCCACUUCCAUCUGGAGCCUGGGCAAAUAGGCCUGAGUCUUCCUCAUUCACCUUCAUCUAGAGCCUGGGCUAACAGGCCUGAGUCUGCAACAUCCACUUUCGCCUGGAGCCCGGGCUAACAGGUCUGAGUCUGCUACAUCCAUCCCCAUCUGGAGCCUGGACCAACAGGCCCGAGCCUGCCACAUCCACCUUCUGGAAAAUAGCUACGGUUGUGCCACUCACAAACUGUUUCUGCUGAUAUUUUUCAACAUGAAGAUUAUGGCACUCUUAAUAGUUUUAUUAUGUGUGUUGACCGUUUGGGACUUGGGACUAAGCAGUGCUCCUUGGGUAAAAAAGCUUCAAGCCUGGUCUUGAUUGAUAUCAUGUUUGGAGAUGCCGCCAUCUGACAGCUCUGGCAGGCAGCAGCAGCGGCGGCAGCGGCGGCGGCCUUAUACAACUACGCCAUGUGAGAGCGCCCUCUCAGUCCGUUCAAAGAAGCCACUCCGUGAUGAUGAGGAUGAGCCAUGCCUACCGCGCAACCGUCUGAUGCUUACGUGCCGCGGAUUUGUUUGUGAAUUCUGCUCCCUAUCAUAUACAUCCCGACACAUAUUUCAGCUGUAGCGUGCCCCCCCCCUUCAGCAGAGCAGCGUGAGGUGACCUGCUAACUGGUAAAGUCUUCAGUCCCCACAAUGACAGGUAAUCCAAAUCAUCCCACAUGCUGCACAGCUGGGUUUCCAUACGAGUCUGAAAUGGGUCCAUUUUCCUCUCCUAAAGCUUCCAGCAUUUUAAGAUGAAUACCAAAGUAGACUCCUGCCUCCUGGGACAGCAGCAGAAACUGGCUCAGGUUGAAAAAAACUGAAAAUGUUUACAAAAGUUCAAGCUGUGGAUGUGCAGUAAUAACCUGGCUAUCCUUUGAAAAGGGCAAUCGAACUAUCAUCACAGUUUCAUCACUUAGCGGGGACGAGGCCUCGGUAACGGACUGCGCGGUGGCGAGCUGGAAGAGGCUGCAACAUCUGCACUCGCAAACCUUCCAAGGUCCUCGAGAGGAAAUCCUUGUGCAACGACUCCCCCUCUCUUCGCACUGUGGUUCAGCACUCCACUCCACACAUUAUAACCGAGAAAAACAAAGCAUCCGGUUUGAAUUUUUAUUGUAAAAUUGGAAAAAAAGGAGAAAGAGAGAGAGAAA